UGUACGCCAUUGGUCCUUCCUCGGGGAUGUGAUCACCUUUAGGGGCAGGAAAUUCCAGUUUCCGCAGGAUCAGCUCAUUCUUCUGCCUGUCAGCUCUGACCAUACCCUCUUUAACUUGAAAUUGAAGGAUUAUUUCUGGCAAAACAAACAACAAGAACAAGAGACACAGAGGAUAAAGCACAAAUGGAUAUGACAGGAGACAUCAUCUGGGUGCCAAAUGCUGGCCAAAACAAUUACCAGCUGUUUUUAAACAGUUGCAGCUCAUCACCAAUCUGAGGGGACACAGAAGUCACUUCCUAAAUUCUUCUCUAUUAACAAUCUUAAAAAGUCAAAUUCAUAAUUGGAAGAGCAUGCUUCUUCUUGUAUGUCCACUCUAAAUAUGAGGACUUUUAAAGCUAAGUUUAUAGCUGAAGUUGACUUAUUUUUCCUUGCACUUACUUAUGAGAUUUUGAUAGUUAAGUUCCAGACGCAUCCUGAAUUGGAGCAUGUGGACACAAAGGGAGGCAAGGGAGGAGAAGAAUUCUUGCUUGACUCAAUUCUUGCAAGCGAAUGUCAGCUUUUACUAAACUUGGCAGGUGUUUAAAACAAACUCUUUCUUUAUCUCAUGGAGUGCUUCUAUGGACUUUUGAAGACCCUUCAGCAUUGGGAAUUUCUCCCGUUGCAAUUCCUGUGACGAGGCAAAAUGUAUCUUUAUUUCUGUGGAUCAUUUACUCCUUCCUCAGCUUCUGAUUAUCCAGUGAUGACUCUAAGUUCUUAUUGUUUUGCAUUGAAUUGCCAGAGAAUCCUUGGAAUAAAAAUGAUUAAGAACUGCUGCCUACGGAGAACCAAGAUAAAUUUUUGAG
rnacentral:lncRNA from 1 species